rnacentral:rRNA from 1 species
AUUGAACGCUGGCGGCAGGCCUAACACAUGCAAGUCGAACGGAGUGGCGGACGGGUGAGUAAUGUCUGGGAAACUGCCUGAUGGAGGGGGAUAACGUCCGGAAACGGGCGCUAAUACCGCAUACUAUCAGAUGAGCCUAGGUCGGAUUAGCUAGUUGGUGGGGUAAAGGCGCACCAAGGCGACGCUCCGUAACUGGUCUGAGAGGAUGAUCAGUCACACUGGGACUGAGACACGGCCCAGACUCCUACGGUGGGCAGCAGUGGGGAAUAUUGGACAAUGGGCGAAGUCCUGAUGCAGCCAUGCCGCGUGUGUGAAGAAGGUCUUCGGGUUGUAAAGCACUUUAAGUUGGGAGGCGUUACCAACAGAAUAAGCACCGGCUAACUUCGUGCCAGCAGCCGCGGUAAUAC